UGCCAUUUUUGGUGUCCUCAAAAUCAGAAGCGUCAACAGAAAUUAGGGCAGCUGAUAGAGUCAAUAAGCCUAGUCCCAAGAUGUAGACGACAGACGCAGCAAUAAUUGUACGGUAGCGGCCAAGAAAAGAAUCCGCCACAACGGCUCCUAAAAGCGGCAGAAGAGUAGCGGUGCCUGACCAAGUGUUCACAUUCUCAGCCGCAGUUGCAGUGGACUGGCCAAGAGAAUCGGUUAGGUACGUUAUAAGGUUGGAAGAUAUCCCAUAAUAUGCAAACCUCUCCGCCACCUCCACAGCUAUGAUGAAAGAAGCUGAUCUCC
rnacentral:misc_RNA from 1 species